rnacentral:tRNA from 1 species
GGUGGGUAUAACUCAGUUGGUUAGAGUGCCAGAUUGUGGAUCUGGAUGUCACGGGUUCAAAUCCCGUUACUCACC